AUUGAACGCUGGCGGCAUGCCUUACACAUGCAAGUCGAACGGCAGCACGGGAGCAAUCCUGGUGGCGAGUGGCGAACGGGUGAGUAAUACAUCGGAACGUGCCCAAUCGUGGGGGAUAACGCAGCGAAAGCUGUGCUAAUACCGCAUACGACCUACGGAUGAAGGCAGGGGAUCGCAAGACCUUGCGCGAAUGGAGCGGCCGAUGGCAGAUUAGGUAGCUGGUGAGGUAAAGGCUCACCAAGCCGUCGAUCUGUAGCUGGUCUGAGAGGACGACCAGCCACACUGGGACUGAGACACGGCCCAGACUCCUACGGGAGGCAGCAGUGGGGAAUUUUGGACAAUGGGCGAAAGCCUGAUCCAGCCAUGCCGCGUGCAGGAUGAAGGCCUUCGGGUUGUAAACUGCUUUUGUACGGAACGAAACGGCCUUUUCUAAUAAAGAGGGCUAAUGACGGUACCGUAAGAAUAAGCACCGGCUAACUACGUGCCAGCAGCCGCGGUAAUACGUAGGGUGCAAGCGUUAAUCGGAAUUACUGGGCGUAAAGCGUGCGCAGGCGGUUAUGUAAGACAGUUGUGAAAUCCCCGGGCUCAACCUGGGAACUGCAUCUGUGACUGCAUAGCUAGAGUACGGUAGAGGGGGAUGGAAUUCCGCGUGUAGCAGUGAAAUGCGUAGAUAUGCGGAGGAACACCGAUGGCGAAGGCAAUCCCCUGGACCUGUACUGACGCUCAUGCACGAAAGCGUGGGGAGCAAACAGG
rnacentral:rRNA from 1 species